GAUGAACGCUGGCGGUAUGCCUUACACAUGCAAGUCGUACGAGAGUUUUUAACUCAAGUGGCGGACGGGUGAGUAACACGUAAGAAUUUGCCUUUAGGUGGGGGAUAACAACUGGAAACGGUUGCUAAUACCCCAUAUGCUUUCGAGUGAAAUGGAUUUCCGCCUAAAGAGAAGCUUGCGGCUGAUUAGCUUGUUGGUGAGGUAAUGGCUCACCAAGGCGACGAUCAGUAUCUGGUUUGAGAGGACGAUCAGACACACUGGAACUGAGACACGGUCCAGACUCCUACGGGAGGCAGCAGUGGGGAAUUUUCCGCAAUGGGCGAAAGCCUGACGGAGCAAUACCGCGUGAGGGAUGACGGCCUAUGGGUUGUAAACCUCUUUUUUCAGGGAGGAAUCAAUGACGUGUACCUGAAGAAUAAGCAUCGGCUAACUCCGUGCCAGCAGCCGCGGUAAGACGGAGGAUGCAAGUGUUAUCCGGAAUCACUGGGCGUAAAGCGUCUGUAGGUGGUUUAAUAAGUCAACUGUUAAAUCUUGAGGCUCAACCUCAAAAUCGCAGUCGAAACUA
rnacentral:rRNA from 1 species